rnacentral:rRNA from 1 species
UACGGGGGGAGCAAGCGUUGUUCGGAUUUACUGGGCGUAAAGGGCUCGUAGGCGGCCAACUAAGUCCGACGUGAAAUCCCAAGGCUUAACCUUGGAACUGCGUCGGAUACUGGAUGGCUUGAAUUCGGGAGAGGGAUGCAGAAUUCCAGGUGUAGCGGUGAAAUGCGUAGAUAUCUGGAGGAAUACCGGUGGCGAAGGCGGCAUCCUGGACCGACAUUGACGCUGAGGAGCGAAAGCUAGGGGAGCAAACGGG